UUUGAAAUUCUAAAAUCUUAUACUGUUGGUCUGUGAGCCGUGAAACAUUUUAAGUAAAUGAAUUUCACUGGAAACUAGGUGUAGGUCAAAUGUAAGUAAUUCUAUCAAUUAAUAGGUACCUACAAUAGUAAUAGGCUUACGGUGGAAUUCAUAGUCGUAGUAGGGGGCCCCUAAGGGGAUUAUUCAGCCGCUAUGUGUCGAAUUCAACCCCUACGCGUUUCAUAGACAAAAGAAACCCCUCAUUUGACAGGAGCUGGCGGCUGACUGCUGAAUUACCGAUAUUUGUCAGCCAAACCAUCCCCUGGCAUUUUUUUUUGGUGUUAUUCGUGAUUUAUUUAUUAGAAAGUGGACGUUCGGAUCGUUAUAAGUGAAGUUAUAAACAGCGAGUUAUAUCAGUGCCCAAGAUAUAUAUUCGCAAUUGCGUAAACCCAGUAUAAUACUAUGGCGAUAUGGAAUGUACGAAAGAUUCUCAUAUUAGGCAUAAUAUGCCUCUGUUUGAUGAAGAAUGAACACAGAAGACCAAAAGAGGAAUACCAAUACCGCUAGUAUUAUACAUUCUAGCAGCACUUCGAUUCUAUGAAACGGGAUGUUAUCAGACUGCAGGUGCAGUCCAUCAAGCAUUCUAUGAAAUAAAAGAAAUGCCAAAAGUCAAGCUGUAUUGAUGUCACGCAUAGGUAUACAUAUAAACAACCCCGGAGGACCCUAUACACAGAUUUAAAGAAACCGGCUAUCAUGGCAGAGAAUAGCAGUGAUGAGCUCUGAGAAUACUGUUUUACCAAGAAUACUGAGAAUACUUUGGUUCUUGAAAAUCUGAGUUUUCAGAUCACAGUAAUUGGAAGACCCACAUACCUUGAAAAGUCAGCAGCAUUUAAUAUCAAGGUAGUAGGAGUGAGUGCAGUAUGUUGUAAGGUGGUCACUCACUCUGAAGUCCAUAACAAUAGAAAAUGUAUACAAAUCUUAAUUGAAUGAAAUUUAUUGAUUCACAUCUUUAAUAAAGAUAAUUAUUAAAUGUUUA